rnacentral:rRNA from 1 species
UGGGGAAUUUUGCACAAUGGGGGAAACCCUGAUGCAGCGACGCCGCGUGAUUUAGAAGGCCUUCGGGUUGUAAAAAUCUUUUGUAUGGGAAGAAAAUGACAGUACCAUACGAAUAAGGACCGGCUAAUUACGUGCCAGCAGCCGCGGUAAUACGUAAGGUCCGAGCGUUGUCCGGAAUCAUUGGGCGUAAAGGGUACGUAGGCGGAUAAGCAAGUCAGAAGUGAAAUCCUAUAGCUCAACUAUAGUAAGCUUUUAAAACUGCUCAUCUUGAGGUAUGGAAGGGAAAGUGGAAUUCCUAGUGUAGCGGUGAAAUGCGCAGAUAUUAGGAGGAAUGCCGGUGGCGGAGGCGACUUUCUGGCCAUAUACUGACGCUGAGGUACGACAGCGUGGGUAGCAAACAGG